AGUGAACGCUGGCGGUAGGCCUAACACAUGCAAGUCGAACGGCAGCACAGUAAGAGCUUGCUCUUACGGGUGGCGAGUGGCGGACGGGUGAGGAAUACAUCGGAAUCUACUUUUUCGUGGGGGAUAACGUAGGGAAACUUGCGCUAAUACCGCAUACGACCUACGGGUGAAAGCAGGGGAUCUUCGGACCUUGCGCGAUUGAAUGAGCCGAUGUCGGAUUAGCUAGUUGGCGGGGUAAAGGCCCACCAAGGCGACGAUCCGUAGCUGGUCUGAGAGGAUGAUCAGCCACACUGGAACUGAGACACGGUCCAGACUCCUACGGGAGGCAGCAGUGGGGAAUAUUGGACAAUGGGCGCAAGCCUGAUCCAGCCAUACCGCGUGGGUGAAGAAGGCCUUCGGGUUGUAAAGCCCUUUUGUUGGGAAAGAAAAGCAGCAGGUUAAUACCCCGCUGUCCUGACGGUACCCAAAGAAUAAGCACCGGCUAACUUCGUG
rnacentral:rRNA from 1 species